rnacentral:rRNA from 1 species
UACAGAGGGUGCAAGCGUUAAUCGGAAUUACUGGGCGUAAAGCGUGCGUAGACGGUUAUGUAAGUCGGGUGUGAAAGCCCCGGGCUCAACCUGGGAAUGCCAUUCGAGACUGCAUAGCUAGGGUGCGGAAGAGGGAAGCGGAAUUUCCGGUGUAGCGGUGAAAUGCGUAGAUAUCGGAAGGAAGACCAGUGGCGAAGGCGGGUCUCUGGACAGUUCCUGACGCUGAGGCACGAAGGUCAGGGGAGCAAACGGG